ACCAACAAAGGCUGAAGGGUGUAAACCUAAACAGGGAGGUGUAAUAAGCGCAGACAAGGAAAACACAAACAGUUUUACAAGUCACACAAAAUUGGGGUGGAAAUAAACUGAGGGGGGUGCGUGAGGAAAGAUGGAUCUGAAACCAAGCCUCGGCCCAAAUAAACGAGAUGAGAAACCCUAAUUAAUCUAACCCUAAUCUCUUAUUGAUUAGCAAAUCAGAUCCCAAAUCACCAGAUCCCCUUCUCCUUCACCUCACGCAUGAACAACACCACACCCAUCCAUGCUACACCCAUUCCGGCGGGCCAGGGACGCCGGUGACGACGCCGAUCACCACUCACCGGCGACACACCUCUUUUUUCCUUUUUCUCCAAUGCGCGCGAGGUAGGCCACAUCUUUGGAGCCCUGUCGUCGCUCACCACGCCGCUCUAGCCACCGGAGCCGUCACCGUCGACGCCGGAAGCCACCCCUUCUCUCCUUCUCUCUCACGAGAUUGACGCUCACGCUAGGAACCGCCGUCAUGCGUCUCCUUAAGAACCGCCGCACCCGUGGCCACUGCACCGCGUCCCUACCGUCGGAGACAUCACCAGUGACAUCCCGUUCUUAACUGCCUCUGUACAACACCCAAGGUCGCUUCCAUUAGUGCGUCUUCCUCUGUACAACAUCCCGUUCUACUCCUUUGCUCAUCUCUCCGCUAUGAUUGGAUAUGGAUGAUUAAGGUUGAAAUAGAGCUAUGAUGUUGAGAUGGGAGUGGGAAUGUUGCGACCGUGAGGGUGAAAGUGCACGAAGGAUCUCAGGUGAAUGAUGAAGAUGUGGGUGAACAGAAACGCAGAUGGAAAAUGCAGGGCUGAAGAUGAAGGUUGGCGAUGAUGGAAACUGAUGGUUGGGAUCGGAGGUUAAUCAAUGUGGGGUUAAGGAUUGUUGUGAAUGGUGUUUCUCUAGUUUUAAUUAUUUUGUGCAGGUUGGAUGAAUGGAUGAUGAAGAUGAUUAUGAUAGCCAAGAUGAUUGUACGAGAGUGGUGAUAGCGCACGGUCAUAGUAGAAGUUUUGAUGGACCAUAUUUUGUUUUCUAGAUUCAAACAACAACAACAGGGAGCACAAUAUAUUUGACUCAGAAAUGAAACCCAACGUACUCACAUCAUGCAUAUUCACAAAUGGUAUUGAGGACGAAACACCAGCAUACCAAUUACAAGCCCAAGACACGAACACAUCAUGCUAACACAAACGCUCAUUCAUUCAAGAUUGGGGUGCUUACCUCUUGCAGUUGCUUAUCCGAUAUCACCCUUCCUACUUUGGCUGACCACCUUUUUCGCUCUCUCCUCCUGGUGUUCUCCAGGGUACCAAGCGAUGCACGGUCCAGGUACCAAAAUAAGGAAAGAGCUAGGCAAUCUAGAGCACCAGAAAAUUAAAUGCUCCACAUCUUUGUGUACUUUUUUUUCCAAAUAUCUGUUCUACUCUUUUUUUUA